rnacentral:lncRNA from 1 species
GGGGAAGGAUAAUGUCAAAAUGAACCCAAUUGUUGAUCGUCUCCCAUAUAAGGUAAGUGAACAUAUAAGAAGAGAAUAAAUGUUGUGAAGUUUCUGGUUCUACAUUGUAGAACCUACAAGUGGUGCCUCCCGGAAGUUUAGUCAUUCCUAUUCUUAGAAAUGUGCCCAUAGUUGAAAUUUUUUCUUGAAAAAGCCUCCAUUAGAAGGCGGUGGUGACCUUUGAAGGGGCUUUUGAUUCCCACAAAACUUUGAAGAAAUUAUGAUCCUCCUCAUGGUUGUUCACGUGCUUGAGAAAACAUUUGUAUGCGAAUUUGACGGUGUAAUGUCUGGACUUGUCUUAGAGCCACUCCCAACAAUAUUUAGCAUCCCUCCUUAAAGUAGCAUGUUAUAAUUCCUACAUAAGAUUAUCAAUUAGUUCAAGUUCCCAAGCAAAAGGAGAUAUUCUCCAAGAUAAAGACCACCUUCAUUCCCCACUCUGCUAGCCCCUAAGUCGCUAAUAUUGGCUUCCCUAUCUGAGCUAAGGAUAUAGAGCCUAGUUUAUCUAACAUCGAGCUUUCCAGUGUCAGGCCACUUAUCAUGCUAGAAGUUAGUGUUUUUCCCGUCCCUCAUUCCUUCGAGCAAUGUUAUUCCAAAACUAGUUUGUAUUGUCAGAAUCCCCUAAAUUGAAUCUGCUCAAAUCCCUUGGCUAAAGAGAAGAUUUCUUCAGAGGGAUAAGAAGGUUGACCCCUAGGUUUUCAAGACCAUGUCUCCCAUAUUUACAAUCCAAGACUCGACACUAAAGAUUGUCCAUCUCGGUUAGCAGUUUCUAAUUUCAUCUCCCUUAGAGGGCUAGGUUGAAGAAUCUAAUGUCUUUAACCCCAAGACCACCCUCAGAUUUUUCUUUGCACGUGUUCGUCCAAUUGACCCAUUUUAUUUUCCUUACAUCCUCGAACCCUCCCCAAAUGAAGCUUAUCUAAAUUGUUUGGAUAGAGUGCACAACGAUGGAAGAGGAUUUAUAGAAGGAUAACAAGUAUACAUGUAAAGUAGACAAAACAACAUUGAUUAAAACCAGAGUUAUGCAACUGGGAUGGACGAUUCAACCAGUCUGACCGUCACCGACCUUUCAAACAGCUCGGUUCACACAACUAGUCGGAUGAGUAUUUGAGUCAUUUUGAACCGUAAAAAUUCUGGUUCAACAUGACUAAAUCAUGUUAACAGAGAAUAACCCGGGUCUCUAACCUAGACGGUUUAGUAAAGAAAAAACUUUAGGCAAGCUAUUUUGAAUUUCACUUUCCUAUUUCCAUUUUCAAGCAAAGCAAACAUAAAUUGAUUUAGAGCAAAACCUAGAAUGAGGCUUAGAAUACUAAGAUUCACAUUGCCAUUUUUGUUGGUGAAGCUUCAAAAAUAUAUUUUCAAACUUUUUAUCAUAGCUCUCUUUUCUCUAUAUGUAUUUCCCUCUUCCGUUCUUGUUAUAGGCUUCACAGUCAAAAUCAGAUAGUAAGAUUUGGAUCUUGUAGUGUAAUUAGUAAUAGGAUAAAGAUAGAGCAAGAAAAAAGAAUGGAGACAAAAAAAAGAAUGGAGAUCGUAGAAGAGAAUAGACAUGAAGAGAAGAUGAAGAGUGAAAAGACUAAGAAGAAACAUUUGGAGUUUAGAUAGGGGUGGGGAUAAUGCAAUACAACCGACAAUAUUUAUGUACUUCCCUCUUUUUCCUCACUUAUUGUUUAUGUCAAUUUUCUUACGACAAGAGUCUUACUCAUUACUUUCCUUUAAUAUAUUUGAUUCAAUUUUCUUUUUCAAUUGUCUUAGUAUAUAUAAUAAUUUAUAAUAUUAUAUAUAUUUUUAAUUAUAUAUGAUAUUGUCCGGUUAAACUGGUUAGAACCUAUAGAAAACUUUUUCCGAUUUGAUGUCAAUCUCGGGUAUCAUAAUAUUGAUUAAAACAACUCAACCUUCGAAGGAAAUAUUUUUUAUUUUCUAGGUUGACAAUCUUGCCUUCAUUCUCUCAACGAGAGGAGUUCAAACCUCAACCCUAUGAUGUAUAACUUCUACCAGAAUUCCUAAGAAAUAGAAUUUUUAGGAGCUAGCCUUACAAUUCAAGAUUUCGAAUAAAAGAGCAAUAUGAUCCUCCGUAGCAUUCAACACCACUAAUUUGUUUUUCUUGGAUUUAACUUUGAGAGCGGAAGAUAAUUCAAACAAUCUAAGGAUAUAUUUUAUAACUAAAAUAUUAUGGUCAAAACACUCACCAACGAGAAUUGUGUCAUCAGAAAAUUGUAAUAAAGAGACACUAACCCUAUCAGUUUCCACCUUAUAAGGUUUAAAGGUGCCCUUUGUUAUGGCCUACCACAUCACUCAUGUUCAGCAUUCGGCAAAAUAAGAAAAAGGAAUUGUGAUAAGAGAUCUCCUUGCCUUAAGCCUCUUUGGAUUGACAAGGAUGGCUGUCUUACCUAUGGUGAUGCAUUCCAUGAUCCAUCUUCUCCAAGUGUGGAAGAAACUCAGUCGAGACAUCAUAUGAUCCAGAAAGCUUAAGAAACUCAAUCAAAAGUCUUUUCGUAAUCGAUCUUGAAGACAAUGCAAUGCUUUUCAUUUCUCUUGGCAUCGUCUAUUACCUCGUUUAGGAUUACCACACCAACAGAAAUAUG